UGGGGAAUAUUGCACAAUGGGCGCAAGCCUGAUGCAGCAACGCCGCGUGAACGAUGAAGGUCUUCGGAUCGUAAAGUUCUGUUGCAGGGGAAGAUAAUGACGGUACCCUGUGAGGAAGCCCCGGCUAACUACGUGCCAGCAGCCGCGGUAAUACGUAGGGGGCUAGCGUUGUCCGGAAUUAUUGGGCGUAAAGGGUACGUAGGCGGUCUAUUAAGUCAGGUGUGAAAGCGUGAGGCUUAACCUCAUUAAGCACUUGAAACUGAUAGACUUGAGUGAAGGAGAGGAAAGUGGAAUUCCUAGUGUAGCGGUGAAAUGCGUAGAUAUUAGGAGGAAUACCGGUGGCGAAGGCGACUUUCUGGACUUUUACUGACGCUCAGGUACGAAAGCGUGGGGAGCAAACAGG
rnacentral:rRNA from 1 species